AGCUGCUCGUUGCCCAAAUGGGAGGCAUGGCUUGUGUGCCCCAGCCUCCUUCACAAGGAGCACAAGGCUGGGGCGGAGUCCAUUGGCUCCUGUGUUGGGAAGGGGGCAAGCCCUCUGGCAUGCAACCAACCGUUAGCGUUUCUCCCUCAGACUGUUCUCGACAGGCAGAGAGAAUGGACAUGAAGGAGAGGCCUGCUCAGCAUGUGAGAGCAGGGCCAGAUUGGCAGCCUUGGAGGCAGACAAGCCUGGACCCACGCCUUGAUCUGAUGCAAGAAAAGGAAGGAGCCACGCCUAAACCUGAUGCAUCUGGAGGGGAUGGCCGCAAGUCUGGGGAUGCUGGCACAGGGCCAGUGCUGCCGGUGGAGUGGGCUAGGGUCCUAAUCCUCAGGCACCCGAUUGUAUUUUGGGCCCACAAGAAGGCAUGUGGAGCUGAACCCAGAACACAACUGGAACUGGGGAAGUGGGC